CCUCAAGGGUUUCAUUUGGUUGAAGAGAGUUUGCUCUUCAGAAAACCCUAGCCGCCCUAAGAGGCUUAUUCUCUCUCCGUGUCACCAUGGCCGAAAAUGACAAAGGUGGCAGAGUACCUUGCUUCUUCAAGCCUUGUAUGGUUGUUUGAGGCAAACAUUAAUGGGUUGUGAGGAGCAAGGAUCCACUUUCAAACUCGACCAAGGCUGCACUUGAAAGAGAUCUAAUAGAGUGGCAAAGGAUCUGCCUUAAGUAUAUGCACCUUUAGUCAAGUGUAUGUUUAGUUGGUUCAAACCAAGUCUGAUUGAAAUGUCCUUGUUGUUAGCAUGUUCAUGAGUUGGCAAGUUAGCCUGCAGUUCACUCAAAUGAUAGUUUAGUGUGUGUAAGUGUUUACAUCUGCCUUGUUUAACUCAUUUCAGUUCACAUAUGUUCCCAUAUGUUGUGUGUUAGUGGCAGUAAAAGUAAAUUCAUAUGCUUAAUGACAAGAUAAUUAUUACAAGCAUGUUUUAGUGUAUGUGCAUUUAACCAUGUAUCAGACAAUCGCUUGAUUGAGUCUGUUUUCAGCUACUCUAUGUAAUGGAGAAGCCUUUAGCUUAUAAGAUAACUUUAACAUGAAGUGAUGUGGUUAUGUUAUUAGUAUUUGCUUAAGUAAUUAGUAUUCUUCUUGUGCUAUUGAAUAACACUUAGAGAACAUGUUGUUAAGACUGUUGUUGGUUGGGAAAACCUGCUAAGAUUGUAAUUAGUUAACUAGAAUCAAAGAACAUGCUCAUGUCUCAAAUGGCCACUUCUUGUACUCCUGUAUGAUUGUUUAGUUUAUCCAAGUGAUUGUGACAUUGAGUUUUGGUUCCACAUGUGUAUACAUAGACUAUAUGUGCUAAGGAAUUUAGCUAUUAUGACUUCUGGCAUUACUGUCUAGUGUGGAUUAAUGGGAACUUGAAGUUUGAGGAAGUUAGAAAAUUUAAAAGAUGAACUUUCAACCUUUGUCAUGAUGAGUUUAGAUCAAUGUGAGUCGCCAAAAUUAAAAAAUGAAAUGUUUAGGUCUAUCCUUUGAAUAAAGGGGAUCUAGGAGGCUGUCACUUGGCUUGUGAAGAGGUGGAGAGUGAUGUCCUCAGGUGAAGAGGGGAUCAGGAAAGUCAUUGAGUAUCCACUCAGCCUAGUAUUGCCUACUCUAGAUUACUGGGGUUCCUCUUUACUAAAUCAUAAGGCUAUGGGACACUUCAAGGUCUCAGCAAUAAAAAUCAUAUAGGUCCACAGGUUGAAAAUGAAUGCUGAUGUCUUUAUAUAUGUUUGAGAGGUGUAUUUAUGCAUUUAACUCCUACCUAAAGAGAUAAGGGGAUUCUUUCAUUGAAAUUGGUGUUGUGUGUUUUGCUAUUGCAUAAUCUGAUGUGU